rnacentral:rRNA from 1 species
AGCGAACGCUGGCGGCAGGCCUAAUACAUGCAAGUCGAGCGCCCUUUCGGGGGAGCGGCGGACGGGUGAGUAACGCGUGGGAACGUGCCCUUUGGUACGGAACAACACAGGGAAACUUGUGCUAAUACCGUAUGUGCCCUUCGGGGGAAAGAUUUAUCGCCAUUGGAGCGGCCCGCGUUGGAUUAGGUAGUUGGUGAGGUAAAGGCUCACCAAGCCUACGAUCCAUAGCUGGUCUGAGAGGAUGAUCAGCCACACUGGGACUGAGACACGGCCCAGACUCCUGCGGGAGGCAGCAGUAGGGAAUCUUGCGCAAUGGGCGAAAGCCUGACGCAGCCAUGCCGCGUGAAUGAUGAAGGUCUUAGGAUUGUAAAAUUCUUUCACCGGGGAAGAUAAUGACGGUACCCGGAGAAGAAGCCCCGGCUAACUUCGUGCCAGCAGCCGCAGUAA